rnacentral:rRNA from 1 species
UAAGGGCUCACCAAGGCGACGAUCCCUAGCUGGUCUGAGAGGAUGAUCAGCCACACUGGAACUGAGACACGGUCCAGACUCCUACGGGAGGCAGCAGUGGGGAAUAUUGCACAAUGGGCGCAAGCCUGAUGCAGCCAUGCCGCGUGUGUGAAGAAGGCCUUCGGGUUGUAAAGCACUUUCAGUCGUGAGGAAGGUAGUGUAGUUAAUAGCUGCAUUAUUUGACGUUAGCGACAGAAGAAGCACCGGCUAACUCCGUGCCAGCAGCCGCGGUAAUACGGAGGGUGCGAGCGUUAAUCGGAAUUACUGGGCGUAAAGCGCAUGCAGGUGGUUUGUUAAGUCAGAUGUGAAAGCCCGGGGCUCAACCUCGGAAUUGCUAUUGAAAC